UACGUAGGGUGCGAGCGUUACUCGGAAUUACUGGGCGUAAAGCGUGCGCAGGCGGUUGGGCAAGACCGAUGUGAAAUCCCCGGGCUUAACCUGGGAACUGCAUUGGUGACUGGACGGCUAGAGUGUGUCAGAGGGGGGUAGAAUUCCACGUGUAGCAGUGAAAUGCGUAGAGAUGUGGAGGAAUACCGAUGGCGAAGGCAGCCCCCUGGGAUAACACUGACGCUCAUGCACGAAAGCGUGGGGAGCAAACAGG
rnacentral:rRNA from 1 species